GUCACGAGGUGUGUUUAUCUUAGUACCAGCAGACAACAAGAACUAAACUUGAGGAGGCUUCUGAAGAGUCACUGGAGUUGGGUGCCUGAAAAUCUGCACUUGAUUAUUAAGGUAAAGUUUGAAAAGAAAAUUGCUGAAAGCUAUCUUCCACAGGAACUGUCGUGUCCCCCCCCCCCCCCCCCCGCUUUCUCUGCUUUGUGUCGCAGUGACUAUAACAUGAAAAUAUGCUUGGUAAAUAUUUACUUGUUCAAAUAAAAAAGCAUUAAGAAAUUACUCAUUCUUAUUUGGAGAACAAGGAAGUUCACGAACAUAAAUUGUUUUUUUAUUUAAUUUUUGGUGACAUCAACAAUGACAGACUUCAUUCCCCACCUCCCAACCCCCAACUCAUGGGUGCGUGCGUGCACGUGCGUGGGGUGUGGCGGUCAGAGGUUGACGAUGAACAGGGCCCUUUACAGAACCCGGAGCUCACUGUUUCCGCUAAACUUCUGCAAGCCCCUGGAAUCUUUCCACCUCUGCCGGGAGAAUGCUUUGCUCACCGUUUUUGUUUGUUUGUUUGUUUGUUUGUUUGAUUGAUGUGGGCGUUGGCCAUGUAAACAGGCGGCCCCUUCCUUGUGAAGCAAGCCCUUCACCCAGUGAGCUGCCUGCCUCCUCCAGCCCUGGCUUUAUUUAGUUUUGAUAUCAGUCUUCAGCAUUCUUGUAGGGCUGAGUGGCUACACAGAGAGACACAGCGCACUGACUCUACUCCCGAAGGAAAAUAUAGGUACAUACGCAGAGGUAUUAGAGUUCCCUGCUUUGGCAGAAACUGAAGUGAAUGAGAUUGUUAUUGCCAUUAAGCUGAGGAUAAGCCCAGAGAGAACAUCCAGCCAGGCAUGGUGGAUUUUCGUCCCUUUAAUCCCAAUGCUCAGGAGGCAGAGGCAGGCAGAUCUCUAUGAGUUCCAGCCAGCC
rnacentral:lncRNA from 1 species